rnacentral:rRNA from 1 species
AACGCACCUUGCGCUCGCUGGUAUUCCGGCGAGCAUGCCUGUUUGAGUGUCAUGAACUCUUCAACCCUCCGGUUCCUUGUUGGACCGCGAGGCGUUUGGAUCUUGAACAUUUGCUGGCCCUUUACCGGGCCGAGCUUGUUCGUAAUACAUUAGCAUCUCAAUUUCGAACACAAUUCGGUUUGACUCGGCGUAAUAGACUUUAUAUUCGCUGAGGACACUACCUCGGUAGUGGCCGAAUUUCGAAGUAGAAGCUUCCAACUUCUAUGAAAGUCAAUUUCUUAGAUUAGACCUCAGAUCAGGCAGGACUACCCGCUGAACUUAA